GAGGAUGAGAACCUACGGGGGCGGGAGGUUCGACCCGAGCGAAGCGAGAGAACGUUGCGCGAGCAACGGCCCGCAGGGCAAGCCAUCCUC
rnacentral:sRNA from 1 species